AGUCUCACCAUCAACACCCAAAGCUGAAAUUCUACUUAAACUAUUCCUUG
rnacentral:tRNA from 1 species